GGACAGAUGGUUUCUGAAAUUUGAUUGCAAAUCAAAUGAAUUAAGGGUUCAAUUCCCUUCUUUAUCUA
rnacentral:tRNA from 1 species